AAUUAUACAAAUGUCCUCUUUUGUAUUUUUGUCUAUAUUAAUUAUAAACUUUUAUAUGUAUUAUGUUUAGAAGUUGAUUUCCAUACUCCUCGAUGCAUGAUUCGUUUUCUUUGUGCGAUUUUAAAGAGGGAACAUGUCGUGCACUGCUUUAAUUUACACCCAGUCUAGAAGCUCACUAUCUGAAUGGUGACUUUGUAUAAUUUUCCUCUAGUUUUUCUUUCAUUGAUGUCUCAACAAAAAUAAAAUCCAAGAUUCUAUCUAUUUGCCUCUUGUAAAGUGAAAAUUUUUGUUUUUUCAUUCCAUGAUUUUCAUGCUUUCAGGUGGAGGAAACCAGUAAAGACCAUUUUGCUGUGCGCAAAGUGAGAGAAAAUGUUAUACUCAUUGUUUUCAACGGAACUGGAAAUCUGCAUGUAGUUAGUGCGAGUCAAAGUGAUAUCACACAGUUGUGUCAUGCAAAACAGUGCCAGCCAGAUCAUCAGCUGCAAGGACAGUCAAUGUUAUUAAGUGAUCUCAACCAAGAUGGUCUGCAAGAACUGGUUUCGUAUCAAGUCACUUUUGUGAAUCUGAAAGAAGGAGAGUCAAGUAUGGGCUUCCUGAAGAAAUCAUUAGAUUCAGAUUGGCAGCUACAGUCAAAAGUACAAGUCAUUCAUCUCGAAGCAGAACUCCCGAAACUCUAUGAAAAUAGAUCCAAUCAACUGACAAGCAAGUAAUGCAAUUAUUAGAAUAUUUCAACUUGCUCUGUUUUCCAAUGAAAUUACUGUUCUUUUACCAAAGAUAAGAAGUCUGGAAAUAAAUAUUUCCCUCUGUGAUAUAUCUUUCUACCAGGAAUUAGACAUAAUUUGAAAUAAUGUCUCUCACUCAAGGCACAAAAGCGUAUCCUCAUUUGUUUCAAAUCAGAAGAUGAGAAUUUGAAAUCGUCGUUGAAAUUGCGUCCUGAUGCAGUACAUUUUUUGUAGCAAGUAUACAUUGAAAAGAGGGUAACAUCAUGGUAAAAUAAUUUUCUGAAUUUUUUUCCUUUCUGAGAUUCGUCUAGAUUGUGGCAGGUUUCGCUUUCUCGGCAAAAAAGGCUGCUUGCUGAAGUGGAAAAAUGAUGCACCACAUAUUUCAACGCUAUGAUAGUCUAACCUUUUUAGCUGGAAAGAACCUUGCAUCAAGCUUCUGAGCCUUUAACUAUCUUUCUAUAAAAUAAGAUAAGAUGACACAUUAAUUUUGCCUCCUUUCAGACUCAUUUCCAGAAUUUCAUUAUACUCUAAGAAAUUGAGUGAUAUUCCAAAACAUCAACAGUGACACUGCAAAAAUGCUCACCUUGGCUGCGUCGUUUCAAAAUCUGUGCCCAAUUCAAUUUUUUAAAAGUAGACCAAUCUAACAUCAUAGCCAUAAGUUCUCAUAAAAAGCCCUCAGACAGAAAAUAAAAAUCACCGAAAUUUUCAAGAAAUGACAGUUGGAAGUUUUUUAUGGAGAAAAUAAAGUGUGACAAGAAGUUUGCAAUGCCGCAAACCAAGAUAUGCAUUUCUGCAGUUUCACCAUUGAUAUGCAAUUUCGUGUUAGUAAGUAUGAGUUUUUUUGCUUCGAUAAAAACAUUUAAAAGACUGAUUUUUUUUAUCCUGUAUGAAAACAUGUCCUAAUACUGUAUUUAUCACUAAAAAAUACCAAUAUGUUCGAAGAUAUAAAACAGCUACCUAGAAAUGUUCUGCUUUUUGCAAAAUGUUCUUAUACAGAGAACAAAUUAUUAUAGGAUAAUAAAGGCUGUAUAUACUUAAGGAAAGUGUGACUCUUAAUAGAAGACCAUACCUCUCACCUCUGUUUUCUAACUAUUUUAAGUGAUUUGCAAUUUAUUUGCCCAAGUCAUGUACCCUUUUUAAAGGGCCAAUCGAACUCAUAUGUAUUUUUCAUUUAUUCUAUUACUUCUUCUUAAUUUUUGAUUUUAUUACUUUAUUCAUUCUUUUCUUUUCUUGUGUUUUUACCUCCUAAAUUCCUUGUAAUUUAUGUUCCUCUCAGGUUUUGUUGUUUUUUUUAUCGGUAUUUUUAUUUUUGCCAAUUGUCAAUUGACGAUUGAAAAAGGUCCAACUGUGUGACAGUUGGGGUUUUUAUAACCUUCAGUCUUCAAGUCAGCAGCCUGAUUGUUGAUAUUUUGUGUUUGUCGGAUAGACAUAGAUGACAUAAGUUAAAAGGUGGAGCGUGAUUGGUUGGCCAUGUUUUAUUGCUGCUUCAUCAUACCUUUAUCAGGCGGAAUGGACAACGUACUGGCGGAAACUUGUGAGGUGCCUUUAGCUUGUCAUGAGUUUCACCCAACAUAGGGACGAUAAAGCAGCGAUAAAACUCAGCCGACCAAUCUUGCUCCGCCUUUUAAGCUAUUUCAUCUUUGUCUACCCGACAAACACAAAAUUUCAACGAUCAGGCUGCUGGUGUAUAUGAUAUUUUUAAGGACCUUAUCAAAUUAGUUUAAAAGAAGGUUCAGUCAUUAGGUUUCAGUUACUCUUUGCUGAAGUUAACGGAAGAACGCAAUAUGGUUUCAACUACGAAUUUUUGUACAUUAGAAUUGAUUACUUUCAUAUAGGAUUAUAAUUAAGUAAAAAAAUCAAGUACUGAGAUCUAUAUUGUUCCUUUCUGAUAA
rnacentral:lncRNA from 1 species